rnacentral:rRNA from 1 species
AUUGAACGCUGGCGGAAUGCUUUACACAUGCAAGUCGAACGGCAGCACGGACUUCGGUCUGGUGGCGAGUGGCGAACGGGUGAGUAAUGUAUCGGAACGUGCCCAGUCGUGGGGGAUAACGUAGUGAAAAUUACGCUAAUACCGCAUACGAUCUAUGGAUGAACGCGGGGGAUCGCAAGACCUCGCGCGAUUGGAGCGGCCGAUAUCAGAUUAGGUAGUUGGUGGGGUAAAGGCCCACCAAGCCAACGAUCUGUAGCUGGUCUGAGAGGACGGCCAGCCACACUGGAACUGAGACACGGUCCAGACUCCUACGGGAGGCAGCAGUGGGGAAUUUUGGACAAUGGGCGAAAGCCUGAUCCAGCCAUUCCGCGUGCAGGAUGAAGGCCCUCGGGUUAUAAACUGCUUUUGUACAGAACGAAAAGGUUUCUACUAAUACUAGGAGCUCAUGACGGUACUGUAAGAAUAAGCACCGGCUAACUACGUGCCAGCCGCCGCAGUAA